GUGGGGAAUCUUGCGCAAUGGGCGAAAGCCUGACGCAGCAACGCCGCGUGCGGGAUGAAGGCCUUCGGGUUGUAAACCGCUUUCAGCAGGGACGAAAAUGACGGUACCUGCAGAAGAAGCUCCGGCUAACUACGUGCCAGCAGCCGCGGUAAUACGUAGGGAGCAAGCGUUGUCCGGAUUUAUUGGGCGUAAAGAGCUCGUAGGCGGUUUCGUAAGUCGAGUGUGAAAAAUCUGGGCUUAACCCAGUGGAGCACUCGAUACUGCGAUGACUUGAGUCUGGUAGAGGAGUGUGGAAUUCCUGGUGUAGCGGUGAAAUGCGCAGAUAUCAGGAGGAACACCAACGGCGAAGGCAGCACUCUGGGCCAGUACUGACGCUGAGGAGCGAAAGCGUGGGGAGCAAACAGGAUUAGAUACCCUUGUAGUCC
rnacentral:rRNA from 1 species